CUGUCUCUCAUGAAUAAAUAAAUAAAAUCUAAAAAAAAAAAAAAAAGGAAAUUAGAAAACUGAGAAAUACAAUGUCUGAAGUAAAGUCCUUAUUAUAAAGGCAGGCCCUCAAUGAACAAGUAGAUAUGAAAGCAGCAUGGAAUGAAAGAGAUGCUCAGUUUCUUCAGAACUGAGCCACAGAAGAACAUCGUGUAUUUUUAGACAAAAGAUGUUGUCCAGACAUCACUGAUUAUGGAGACUGUUUUCUUUGUGAAACUAAAUUCUUCCUGUAUUAUUAUUUUAAGAUUUUCUUUUCUUAUUUUUUUAAGUAAUAUCUACACCCAACAUGGGACUCAAACUUACAACCAAGCUCAAGAGUCACACAUUCUACAGUCUGAGCCAGCCAGGUGUCCCAUGAAUUAUUUGUUCAAAGGACAGUCUUUUAGCAUCUGAACCACAUUAAGCUGCUGCCUCACUGAAUAGUGCUGAUGAGGGUGGGCGGCUGGGAGUUUGGGAGUUAGCCAACAUUCCCUUCCACUACCAUGUGGUGGCAUGGUACAGGGGGAAAGUUCUGCCUUUAGAGGGAGGUGCUGAUUCAAGUCCCACUGGGGUCUUUUACUUGCUCUGUGACUCUGACCAAAGCAUUUUGUAUAUUUGCACCUCUGUUUUUGUUGUUGUCUGUUUUUCAUCAAUAAAGUAGGUAUUUUUGAAACUGCUUAUAAACUUGCUACAAGGGUUUAAUAUGAAUGCCCAUGCUAGGUGUGAGCCUGGCAUCUAACAUCUUUUUCUGUGUUUGUGGUGUUGUAAACAAAAGACUUUGCUGGACAUCUCAGUUCCUCCGAAGUAGUGCUGUGGGGCCCCUGGGCCUUCGCUGGAUCCCAUGGGGACUCAGGAAUAUCACUGUGGGACCAAGGGGUGGGUGACUGGUCUCUCUUUGCAAGAGCAGCUCUACUUAAGCACCAUGAUCAGCCCAGGCCCUGGAGCAGAGCGCCUGUUGUGAGCAGUCUCAGAUGGAUGGCCACACACCUAAGGCCUGGGGAAGGAGCCAAAAGGAAGAUUCAGAGGGGUCAUUUUGGGGAUGGACUCUGUCAGACACAGAAAUGAGGACUGAAGCACAUCCUGUAGACUUGAGUAAUGAAAUGCGUCACAGAGUGGCUGUGGCCUUCUGGAAGGCGCUCUCUGCCGCCUCCAGGAUCUGGCAGCGAUGGCCAUAGUGACGUGCUGCCCCCAUGUGGCAGGUGGGGGCAAGGACCAUCAAAGUGACGUUUCAUCAUUUUCAUUUCCGCCUUCUGUUGUCCAGGCUUUGGGGAGAGCCCUGAAGCAGGGGUAUAGUAGAACUUCAGAAGAAUCAUAAUCGAAGAUUGAAACCAAAAUAUCCAAGUGUCGUUUCUAGGAAGAAGAUGAUGAAGCUGGGUAUGUUAAUGGAGACAGAGCAAGGGAAAAUCCACCGAAAAAGGCACAUGGAUGAACCAGCCUGGGCUCGAAGCAAACACAGGCCUUGGGCCUGCAAACCUUGCUGUGUUCUCGUUUGUGUGACCUCAUUGUGCAUUGCUGCCAUUCCAGACCUACCGUGAAAUAAUUCCUCAGCAAUGGCUUCAAAAUUAUAUGAUGCUUGAGAGAAAUCUUAAGGCUUUCCAAUCAAAUCCUUUUUAUUUAAUUGUUUAUAUCUUAAAGCUGAUUCUACUUAUCCAAGUUAUAGACAGGUAGGUAGUGGCUAUGGGAAACAUGCCAUUAUUCAGUUACUAAAUCAUGCCACACUGUUGUGGCUUACAACCAUAAGGGUUUGUUACUUUUCAUUGUUCUGAGGGUUGACUGGGCUCAGCUGGGUGGUUCUGUUCUUCACAGCACUGGUUGAAGGCACUCAUUUUGUAUGAGCUCCUCUGGCCUCUGGGCUGGGCUGGAGGGCCCAGGAAGUCGUCACAUACAUGGCUGUUUCUUGGUGCUGCCCCUCUCCGUGAAGCUACAUGGAGCUUCCUCAGAGCAUGGUGGCCUCAGGGUGGCCCACCUUCUGCAGGGUGGUUGACUUUAAGAAAGAAAUCAGAAGGUGUGAGCCACAGAAGGCCUAAUCCUAUGACUGAGAUGGUGUCACCCUGUCACACUGUAUUGGGCAAAGUAGCCACAGGCCAGCACAGAGUCAGGGUAGUGGUGCGUACAGACAGUGUGUCUUGAUGAAUGAAGCAGCACACACUUAUUGGGAGGAAAUUAGCAGUGGACAUUUUUGAAGACUGUCCUACAGCAUCAUAUAUAAGAAUCAAACCCUGGUCCUGUUGAUGAUCAGCUACAGAGCCACAGCAUGGUGCUUAAACUCUCACUGCUCCAGUCAUCUUGUUCUCAAAUAGGGAGAACACAAACUGCAUGGAUUUGCUGGAGGAAGCAAAUAAGAGUCACUGUACAAGAGGUUAUCAGACUUGUUCUGGAACAGUUCUUGGAAAGUUAUGAGUAGCUGGCAGGACUUGCAGCCCACAUACUCAGGAAAGGCUGUUACAUCAAGUCAACAACAUCUGUAGUCAUCACUGUAGCAUGUUACCAUCACAGAAGAUGAGAGUCUCUUCAUCAUGCAGCAAAGCAUAGAAGGAGGUAGGACACCUGGAUGGAGAGGUAAGACACCUGGAUGAGGCUGUGUGGUGUCCUUGCCCUAAGAGAAUGUGUCUGGGUUGACCAGGCUGUGCUCAGAAAUGGGCAUCAUUAAGACUCAGGCUUUUGAUUUGAAAGAGAGUGUCCCAAGUAGGAGGUCACACUGGAGUCAUCGGUUCUGGCUGACCUUGGGAGAAUGAUUGCUGCCAACACAAUCUGACAGUUUCUACUUUUGCCUGAGCAACCCAGAUCCAGGCUGGGAAAGUAAUUCCUUAAUGUUCAGAUUGCUUUUUGUAAGUUUACCUCUUCCUUUCUUUUCUUCACAGGUCAGGAGACAGCUUUAAAAUACUGUAUUCAGUGC